rnacentral:rRNA from 1 species
AUUGAACGCUGGCGGCGUGCUUAACACAUGCAAGUCGAUCGGUAACGCGGGGGCAACCCUGGCGACGAGAGGCGGACGGGUGAGGAACGCUUGGGCAUCUGCCUAUCAGCGGGGGACAACACGGGGAAACUCGUGCUAGUACCUCAUACGCUCUACGGAGGAAAGCCGGGGCCCGCAAGGCCUGGCACUGAUAGAUGAGCCCAAGCCGGAUUAGCGAGUUGGCGGGGUAACGGCCCACCAAGGCGACGAUCCGUAGCUGGGCUGAGAGGACGAUCAGCCACACUGGGACUGGGACACGGCCCGGACUCCUACGGGAGGCAGCAGUGGGGAAUAUUGGACAAUGGGGGAAACCCUGAUCCAGCGACGCCGCGUGGGUGAAGAAGGCCUGCGGGUUGUAAAGCCCUUUCGGUAGGGACGAAAGCUCUCGACCUAACACGUCGGGAGGUUGACUUAACCUACAGAAGAAGCACCGGCUAACUCUGUGCCAGCCGCCGCCGUAAGAC